GUAACACGUGGGUAACCUGCCUGUAAGACUGGGAUAACUCCGGGAAACCGGAGCUAAUACCGGAUAGUUCCUUGAACCGCAUGGUUCAAGGAUGAAAGACGGUUUCGGCUGUCACUUACAGAUGGACCCGCGGCGCAUUAGCUAGUUGGUGGGGUAAUGGCUCACCAAGGCGACGAUGCGUAGCCGACCUGAGAGGGUGAUCGGCCACACUGGGACUGAGACACGGCCCAGACUCCUACGGGAGGCAGCAGUAGGGAAUCUUCCGCAAUGGACGAAAGUCUGACGGAGCAACGCCGCGUGAGUGAUGAAGGUUUUCGGAUCGUAAAGCUCUGUUGUUAGGGAAGAACAAGUGCGAGAGUAACUGCUCGCACCUUGACGGUACCUAACCAGAAAGCCACGGCUAACUACGUGCCAGCAGCCGCGGUAAUACGUAGGUGGCAAGCGUUGUCCGGAAUUAUUGGGCGUAAAGGGCUCGCAGGCGGUUUCUUAAGUCUGAUGUGAAAGCCCCCG
rnacentral:rRNA from 1 species